GGAUUGGUGGUUCAGUGGUAGAAUGCUUGCCUGCCACGCGAGCCGUCCGGGUUCGAUUAGCGGCCGAUGCA